AUUGAACGCUGGCGGCAUGCUUUACACAUGCAAGUCGAACGGUAACAGGUUAAGCUGACGAGUGGCGAACGGGUGAGUAAUGCAUCGGAACGUGCCCGGUCGUGGGGGAUAACGCAGCGAAAGCUGCGCUAAUACCGCAUACGAUCUGAGGAUGAAAGCGGGGGACCGUAAGGCAUCGCGCGAUCGGAGCGGCCGAUGUCAGAUUAGGUAGUUGGCGGGGUAAAGGCUCACCAAGCCAACGAUCUGUAGCUGGUCUGGGAGGACGACCAGCCACACUGGGACUGAGACACGGCCCAGACUCCUACGGGAGGCAGCAGUGGGGAAUUUUGGACAAUGGGCGAAAGCCUGAUCCAGCAAUGCCGCGUGCAGGAAGAAGGCCUUCGGGUUGUAAACUGCUUUUGUACGGAGCGAAAAGGUCUCCUCUAAUACAGGGGGCUCAUGACGGUACCGUAAGAAUAAGCACCGGCUAACUACGUGCCAGCAGCCGCCGUAA
rnacentral:rRNA from 1 species